rnacentral:rRNA from 1 species
GUGAGGAAUAUUGGACAAUGGGCGCAAGCCUGAUCCAGCCAUGCCGCGUGCAGGAAGACGCAUCUAUGGUGUGUAAACUGCUUUUGUACGGGAAGAAACACUCCCUCGUGAGGGAGCUUGACGGUACCGUAAGAAUAAGGAUCGGCUAACUCCGUGCCAGCAGCCGCGGGAAUACGGAGGAUCCAAGCGUUAUCCGGAAUCAUUGGGUUGAAAGGGUCCGUAGGCGGUUUAAUAAGUCAGUGGUGAAAGCCCAUCGCUCAACGAUGGAACGGUCAUUGAUACUGUUAGACUUGAAUUACAAGGAAGUAACUAGAAUAUGUAGUGUAGCGGUGCAAUGCUUAGAUAUUACAUGGAAUACCAAUUGCGAAGGCAGGUUACUACUUGUGGAUUGACGCUGAUGGACGAAAGCGUGGGGAGCGAACAGGAUUAGAUACCCCUGUAGUCC